UGUUGCCACGAGUAAACAUCAAAGCAGUACUUUCUAGUGAGACAUUUAUUUCAUUUGCUGCGAUCCUAAAAGGUUCAGUUGUUCACUUCCGGUUGCCUUCAGGAAAAAUCUCAAAAUGUUAGGCAACACAGGCCGCAGUUUACUCAGAAGUUCAGCAAUUCAAAAACAGCUGAUGUUGCAGAAAAGAACUAUGCUGGAAGCACCUCCAAGACACAGAAUUUCUUUCGCUGAGAAAGUGAUAACUGGAGCCUUAUCAACAGUUGCUGUUUGUGCUCCCAUAUGUUGGGUGACAUACUACACUGAUGCUUACUUGGAACAAUCCAAUAAAUGAUAACCAGGAUAAAAGAAAUGGAAUAACUUUACAUUGACAUUUUGUAUUUGAACAGAAUGAUUCUACAUGUUUUAUUAAAAUAGAUUUGUGAAUAAAUAAAGUACCCCUUGUAA